UUCUUGCAUGCUGUUGCUGAAGAAAUCAGGAGUCGUAUCAGAGACAGCCACUAGAUUUUUUUUCAUUGGUAGGAGAGAGCCAAAAAGGGGAGGCUGAAUGAGGGAGACAGCAGGGUGUAUCUCCAAGAGGGGAAUCAGAAAGACGUUUGGUCCUGCUCCCAAGGGACGUCUUUAUGCCUGCUCCCGUGUUGGCAGACCCGAGGCUGCUGUUUGCAUCUCCAGCAGCAGAUGGAUCAGACUAUUCCACUGAAAAUUUCGAGGACAAAAAUCAUUUCUACUUAGCAGUAGCAUUAAAGCCCUUGAAUUGGGCCACAUUCUGCUGCCAAUGCAGUUUCGAGGACACUUGGAAAAUAUUUUGAACAGCAGGGAAGAAUAGCGAUUACCACCUCACAGUCUCUCAAAGGUGUGAAUAUUGUAGGUUAUUUUCCCUUUGACUGUUUAUGGCCUAUUUACAGUAUAAUCACACCAAAUCAGGGUUAUAACAUGCCUUUCUUUUUUUCUUUUAGUGAAAAUAGAAUCCAGCAUAAUUUUUUUUUAUUUACUGUAGCUCCCUCUAGAAGCUCAGGCAUUUUCAGGCACUAAGCAAGAAUGAUCUCUUCUCCAAGGCAUUCAUAACUGAAGGAGAGGCAAGGAGAAAGGUGGCUAGGAAAAAUAUCAGAAUCUAGAUUGGUUUUGAGGGUACCCUCAAACAACUGCAUUGAAGACUGACUGGAGGCCAAAGUCCUGUUAUAACUUACAAGAGCAGAACCACGCAACUAUCAGAAAAGGGCUGAUUUUGACUCUGACAAACUGAUCCAGAUGCUUCAAACUACUGGGACCCACUGUCCUGCACCAGUAACUGUAUAAGCAAGAAUCAAAACUGAGGAUCUGCUUUAUUUUAUAGCAUUUACUACCUCUUGCAGAAAACCAAGCUUUGGCACAGACAAAUUGUUUGGGGUUUAAGUUACUUGUAUGGCAAAUUACAGCUAAAGAAAAGCUUGUAAAUACGAAGAGAGUGUAAAUGAGGCUUUGCUAGCUGGCAAACAACUGAAAUUACUGUUUCUAAAUGUGUGAUAAACUCCAGUUUAAUCAAUCUGUUUGCACUGAAACUUAAUGAAGCCAAUUUAAGCAUCAUCUUUCUAACUGCUGAUAUGUUACCACAAGAGGUUUACCUAAUGAACCUCUUCCUACAAUCCUGAAAUCUCUUUAAUACCUUAGCAUCAAAAGUGUUGGUUGCCUUCCAAGUGUUUUACCAGCCAGCUAAGCCAAUUUAACAGCUCACCAAGAGGGGGAAAUCUCCUUCCUUUCAUUUCUUCCAAGGCUUGUCAGCCUUGGUGCAUCCUCCUCAUGUUGAGCUAUUAAAACUGGCUCAACGUUCCUUGCAUACUAACAAAACUUUACCCUUUUCUUCUGUCACUACUGCUAGGAGGUAAUCUGUUGCCUCUCUACAGAAAUUAGAUUAAUUGACAACUUCUAUGAAGAAUGUCAGUGAUAUCACAGACCCUGGUGCUUCUUUCAAUACUGAACUGCAAAAAGACAUUUCUAACUGUCCACUGAAUUUGCAACAAAAUGACCAGUGUGCACUGGAGGUCCACAGAAUAACAGUUGACAUGGAAUUGAAGUCCAGCAAACCUGACAGCAGCCUGGGUGUAGACACCCAAAGGCUCAACUCAGCCACUUGGAUUGUUUUAGUAAAUUUUUUUGCAUCAUGCUGAAACUGAACCGUGCAGGGUACAGGAAUAUAUCUAUCUCUCUAUAUAUAUAGUAUUA